AGUGAACGCUGGCGGUAGGCCUAACACAUGCAAGUCGAACGGCAGCACAGUAAGAGCUUGCUCUUACGGGUGGCGAGUGGCGGACGGGUGAGGCAUACAUCGGAAUCUACUUUUUCGUGGGGGAUAACGUAGGGAAACUUACGCUAAUACCGCAUACGACCUACGGGUGAAAGCAGUGGAUCUUCGGACCUUGCGCGAUUGAAUGAGCCGAUGUCGGAUUAGCUAGUUGGCGGGGUAAAGGCCCACCAAGGCAACGAUCCGUAGCUGGUCUGAGAGGAUGAUCAGCCACACUGGAACUGAGACACGGUCCAGACUCCUACGGGAGGCAGCAGUGGGGAAUAUUGGACAAUGGGCGCAAGCCUGAUCCAGCCAUGCCGCGUGGGUGAAGAAGGCCUUCGGGUUGUAAAGCCCUUUUGUUGGGAAAGAAAAGCAGCAGGUGAAUACCCCGCUGUUCUGACGGUACCCAAAGAAUAAGCACCGGCUAACUUCGUG
rnacentral:rRNA from 1 species